GUUAAAUAGCUGUCAGAUACAAGAAACUUGAGAGAGUUUGUUGAUAGAAUUAGUAAAAUACCCAUACUUUGAAACAUAAGAGAGUGAACUCUGGAAACCCGCCCAAGUAUGCCCUGGAGAAGACCCACGAAACUCACUCGGAAAGCUUGCCUCUCCCAAAAGUUCCUCGCCCACCGAUCGUCUCUUGGUGUCAUGUGUCCUGGUUCCUAAUUCGUGGCGGGUUCGAACGUUGACGACAACGGCGACAGCAGCUUUGGAUAGUGACGACGAUGGCUUCAUCCGCCAUCCUCUUGCGCCAUCUCGCCACCACCUUACCCCAGGCAUUUGAUUCUCCAUUUUCUUCUCUCGCUGUUUUUUCUCGUGAUGACGGAGAACGGGAGAAGAUGAUGAUAACUGGAGUGACACCUAAAUUUUUUGUAGUUGAUAUAAUUUAUCUGCAUCCUCUGCCCCUUGGCAUUCUCAAGUGAAGUUGCUUGAGGUGUUGAUGUAUACUUGUGCGUGAAUAAGUCUUUGUUUAAUAAUGUGUAGUGCAGCUGUUAGUUCAUCCAAUUUUAUUCUCAGUUGGAUUUUUCAUUUUACUAGUCAGUUUUACAUGGAAAUCAUGUGCUGUGGAAACCAAGUUAAGCCAAAGUAUUCCCCAAACUGCAAUUUGAGGCUAUUGUUUAUGCAAGUUGUCAGAAAAAUUUGAUAGUUUAGAGUUCUGGAUUUUUUUCCAUCUUUUUUAUCUCACUACUUCAAGUGUAAUGUGUAUUAUGUUCUUGAUCAAUGUUCUUUAUCUUAAUCAAGGAAAUGCUAAUAAUGGUUGUAUAUUUAUAUUCA